ACAGCAAACUGAGCUGUUUUGAAAAUGAAAGUAAAACCUAAAUAAAAGCGAAAGCUUAAUAAGUAGAGCAUAUAGCUACUGUUUAAAAUGACUUGUGGGUAAUGCUGAACACAGUAACAUAGGUUUAGAUUGUUAGCAAAGGGACAUGCUGUCUUGAUUGCAUAUAGAAAUGCAGCACUUAGUGUGCUUAGCUUCUAAGGAUGAUAUUAUUUUCCUAAUGUUUUAAUUCUGAGAAUGUCUUGAAAAUACUAACAAACAUUUAGUUGUUUGAUUUCCAUUGUUUUCCCAUCUGUGCAAACGCUGCGUUUGUGCAGUGAACAAACUUCUGCUGCCAUGAGUCAACUUGGUGCUGUCCUGUGUGAUCCUGAACAUAUCUGCUGAUCCAUAAGCAGAAUGUAUAAGGGAUGCACUAGACUUUUGAGGGAUUUGUUCUACUGAGGAAAACCUGAAAGACUGCCAUCAAAACAACUUGCCUCCUCAGGUCUCAGGUGUACAAUUUCUGAGACAAUUAUCUUGAGAAACUGCAAUAAAACUACAUGAAUGCCUAUACAGAAGAGAUCAUGUAAAAAAGCUGUAUAAAUUAAAGAAAAAGAAUUAUUUCUCUCUUCACUGGAGUGGAACUGGAUGUUAUGUAAAAUAAAGAGGAUGAUUGUUUUCUAUGAGAAACAAGGGAAUGUUGACCAAGCACUGAGAAACCUUCAGGGCAAAUAAAGAAGCCUGCUAGGAACCGCAGAGAGGCUCCACAUUGGAGCUGGACACACUUAACAUCUGGCAACAAAAGCAUCCUGGGUAUUUCAGAGAUAAAGAAGAGCCAACUUCUGUCUACAGUGGAUUUGGGUGAAGUUUCAAGGUUGCAGACGAACAGAGGUCCACAAGAACACAUUGGUCUUCUUUAACAUUUUAAGGGGAUAUUUUUUGAUGUUUUCAAAUUAUUUUUUACUACAAAGCCCAGAGGCUUUGCUAUUUGCUCACAAACAUAUUCAGCACCCGGUUCAAAUGAAAAGGAACACAUAGUGACUUUAAGCAAAUCCUGCUUGGAGUGACCUGCAAUGCUGCAGCGUUCAACAGAAGUGGUGGGUGAGUGACCAAAUAGAACCGGGCACUAAUAAUGCUUAAUGGGCUGAGAUAGAGAGUGUUUGGCUAAUAAGUGUAUCAAUUUACCAAAUUUACAAAAAGUGGGUCAGUGGUUAAUUGGAGAAUUCAGAGGCCUGCCAAGUCUUGCAGUCCUACCAUGAAUCUUGUCCACUUGCUCCAGUGCCAACCUCAGGCAGGUAGUAGCUCAUAGAGCUUCCUUCACAGGCCACUUUGCCGUGUUCAGGGCUGGUGGUGGAUGUCAAGAGAUUAAUUUACCCAGCUGCCUCCUUCCUGCUGCCUCUAGCACCAGCAGUCACUGCCCCAGAACAACCUCUCACAAUAAAACAGGAGCUUUCAAGCUCAUGGAGAGGAUGUUCUUCUGUCUUCUGGAGUGGUUUUCUUAUUCUGUAUUUCUUCUCAGACUAAUUCUUUGCUAAUUUCUCAGCCUCUUACCCUUCUCAGCCCCUUCUAAAGUGGUUUUGUAUUUACCCCUGUCUUUAUGAGGCAGUUUGGAUAUCUCUGGAUCUGAAAUGCCCGUUGCAGUAGAUCUCUAACUCAAGGAAAAUUUUAAUUACUGUAAGAAAACCAUUUUUUCCUCCCUUUUGUAAUCCUGAGCUGAUCCAAACCACACAGUUUUUGGUCAUGAUUUUGAUGCCAGCUGGAAGGAGCGACAUAAGUGGAACUCUCUGUUUUCCACUACUGAAUAUAUCUAAAGGUAUAAAAACUGGCAAGCACUCCCAAGGAAUAUUUAAAACUAAAUAAAAUAGAGAAGAACCUUUAUUACCAUUCACGCCCCCCUGUCCUCUCCGUGUUAUAUUUAAUUUCACCAAAGGGAAAUUGUACAAAAGCGUAAUUAAACUGCAAAAGAAACAUGCUUACUAAAAUUUAAGAUAUUAUAUAGCAUUUUGACACAAUUGCAAUAACAAAUAAGAUAAGGCAUCUUGCUGCAUCUGGAAUAUUAAUCAAAAAACACUGAGAACUUAAAACUUUUAAAUUAGAUUAUGACUUAAAGACUGUACAAUACAGUUUUUAGGAAAUUAAAAGAAUAAUUUGGAGGUGUUUAUUAUUUUUUCUGAUUAUCACUAAGGUAAGAAGUAAGUUGAAAAUAAGAGGUCAUUACAAGGUGAGAUGGCUGCCGGGGUAGGUGACUUAAAAGGCUCUUCAAAAGCUCAGACCUACAGCACUAGCAGCCUGUCUCUGUGAGACAGUGCCGAAAGGACACAAAUAUAAUGAGGCACUUUUGACCAUGAGUCUUACAAAAUGCCUAGAUAAUCACUCUCUACCCCUACCAAUGCCCACAAGGAAGCUUGAGCAAGGGGAGCAACCAGGAGUUAUGGGCUGUGAUUAACCUGAGUGAUAACUUUGAGAUCCUUCAGCUAUGGAAGUUGGAGGGGUUUUGUAUUUUGCUACUUUCAUCUAUGUUGGGCUGAGCAACUAUGCAGAGCGAGACAUCCUCUGUUUAGAGGAUAUAUAGACAAACAAGUCUAAUGUCAGCUCAGAAACAUGGGCCAUCAGGAUCAAGAAUAGCGACUAAGAUCCAGACCUGAACUACUAACUGCAGUAUUUGAGGAGUGAUGAGCCAGCUGGGUUAAAAUAUCGUUAGUAUAUUUUACAAUAACAAUUUGGAUAUUGAUUAAACCCCAUAGUUUAGAUUGCCUCAGGUUUGCUUCGAGCUGUUAUACUGUUACCUGGCAGCCUCUUAACUGCGGAUAAAGGAAAAUUACUUAUACUGUCAAUAGCUGUUUACCUAUAUUAAAAUAAUUAGCAAUUGGAGUGUACUCUAUUGCUUUGCACAUAGGGAGUCUCAUUAACUUUCUCCUUUGGAUUUAUACACUUACUAACAAAUAAAUGGAAAGCCAUCUCAUCUUCCAUCAUGGGAAUGUGUCUGUCUUCAUUUUGGAAAGGCAAGUACCGGUUUAAACAAGCACAGGCUUCAUGUCAGAGAUUUGUCAUUGUUUCUUUUCAGUGCAUCAUAGCAUUACGCUGCCUUAUUCAACACAAAGCAUUAUUCAACAUGUUACGCUGAGUGAUGCACUGCAAUGACAAAGUGUUAAACUCCAUUAAAAAUUUAAAAGACAUACGGCUAUUUUCAUCUGGGAAGGCUGCUGCUGAUUCAUCUGCAGCCCUUCCCAGCUGAGGUGAGGUAGCAGCCAUAUCUCUCAAGCUAUUACAAAUUACCAGAGAACCAUCCUUCCGUUCAACUUCCAGCAACAGAAGCUGGAAAGUAAAAUUGCUUCAUAAAAAGACGAAGUCCAGUGUUCUUUUUUUGCUACUUAAUAUAUUACUAGAAUGAAAUAGCAUGACUUUCCUAUUAUUUGCAGAUGAUAGCCAGAGGUUUUAGUACACUGGGUAUCAUUACGAUUGCAGACAUUAUUUUACCCUGAAAAUACACGAACAUGCUUACCUCCUUCUGCAGUGGGAGGCUUCCAACUAAUUCUGUAGCAGUUUCUGCUCAUCUGCUUGGGGCUUGGCGAAGCUAGUGUCUGCCUGCAGAGAGCAGAGCCAGGGUUACAAAUGGGCAUUGAAGACUGAGAAUAAGAAAAUGUCAUCCAUAGCAACAAUCAUCCAUAGUCAUGUUAUCACUUUGGAAGAUAUAAUUUCCACCAGGUUUAAUUUUGAAUGGCUGUAGAGACUAGGCAUGGCCUGUUAAUGGUGUCACAUAGUGUUGCAAAAGUAUCACAAGCUGGUGGGCUUCAGUAAAUUGCAAAGAAACGUUGGCUUCACCUGCCCCCCACAAUGUUCAAUCCAUUGCCUGGAACAUUUUCCCUCACAUGGUUGCUGCAACUUUUCUGAUGGCAUUGAGUCCAUAUUUGUGUAGAAUUUAAUAGCUGUGCUCUUCACUGACAAAUUGAAUCCAUUCUUUAUAUGUUAAUCGUAAUAAUCACAUGAACAAAAGGACAAGAAAGAAGAGGAUGAUGACAGAAAGCUCAAGGAAUAUGGCAUAGUUGCUCAUGACUAGACUGACUAUCUCUGAGUGACAAUUACAUCCUUUAUUUGUUUUUAAGGAAACUGCAAUUUAACUUUAGAAAUGCAGACACUUAUGCUUUUACGUUGGGCACAGCACAUAAAACAUAAACACAGACAGAUCAUAAGAUCCGUGUAAAGUUGGGAACUGAAGGGAAAGGCCCAAAAAGUAGUGGCUUGCCCCCAAGGAAACAAGUAGCCUGAAGGGACCCAGUAUCACAAGGAAUUAUGGAUUCUCUGACACAAAUAAACCCAAUAUCAUGAAUCAAUAUAGGAAAAAGGAGGGUAAAGAAUAAGUCUGGAAGAAAAAAAGCCCAUAGGAAAAAUAAAGAUGGAAAAGCUUUUUUUUUUUGGUUUGAUUUGGACAGCUUAUGAGAGACGAUGAAACAUAUUACCAGGAAUAAUGUCUGAAAACUGUAUAAACUAGUAAGAAUGUUUUAUAGGUGACACCAAUUAUAUUGAAGAGAGACCGUUUUCUUAAUCAGAAAUAGAAGAAACAAAGCAAAACAGUGAAUUGAUGUUACAGAUCUGAGCACUUCGACAUUCUCAAACAGUUAUAAAUAGGCUGUUUAAAUAGGGUAGUUUGUGGGACACGUAAUUCCAGCUGACAUGAGGAAUUGUUGAAAAACAAGAGGAAACCUGUCUGCGUGCUGCUUGUUAGAGUAACGGUUUGUGACUGCACUCAGAAACAAUUCUCCUAAAGAUCCAGUCUCCUGUUACAAAGAGCACAACAACAGAUUUUUGACUAUGAUGGGGAACAUCAGAGGUGAUUAGAAAUAAUGGUAAGCAAAUACUAAUCCAUUGUCACAAUGAAUUUAUGUGCAAAGGAUCUAAGAAUAAGUACGAAAUAAUGCCUAAUGCAGA